UACGGAGGGUGCAAGCGUUAUCCGGAUUCACUGGGUUUAAAGGGUGCGUAGGCGGGUUGUAAGUCCGUGGUGAAAUCCCCAAGCUUAACUUGGGAACUGCCGUGGAUACUAUCAAUCUUGAAUAUCGUGGAGGUAAGCGGAAUAUGUCAUGUAGCGGUGAAAUGCUUAGAUAUGACAUAGAACACCAAUUGCGUAGGCAGCUUACUACACGAUCAUUGACGCUGAGGCACGAAAGCGUGGGGAGCAAACAGG
rnacentral:rRNA from 1 species